UUGCGCUCUCGGGAUAGGCCUGAGAGCACGCCUCUUUGAGCAUCGAUUCUACCACAAGUCGACGACGUCCUUGCAAAAGGAUGUGCAGUCGGACAUUGAGCCUUGCCGGCCGUUCGCGGCUAAGCUGGCUUCAAAUAGAGCGAGAUACACAGCGAUCCUUCUGACACAUCAGGAGUGAUUUGUGACGUGGAUAACUUCACUACUCGUGAACCUUCCAAUACGUGACAGUCUCUCAUUCAACUGCUGUGCUAGUGGAAAGCAACGUGUGUUGGAUCGUCAUUCGUGACAACUCUUUUGAAUUAGAUCUCAAAUGAAGCGAGACAACCCGCUGAACUUAAGCAUAUCAUUAAGCGGAGGAAAAGAAACUAACAAGGAUGCCCUCAGUAACGGCGAGUGAAGCGGGCAAAGCUCAAACUGAAAAUCGGAGCUCCAUGCGGGGCCUCGAAUUGUAGUCUAUAGACGCGCCAUCAGCGAUGAACCGGGUAUAAAUCUUUUGAAACAAGGUGUCAUAGAGGGUGAGAACCCC
rnacentral:rRNA from 1 species